AUGACGAUUUGUGCUGCGAUUACCGGUGAAUUCUACACCAAACAGAGCGCUCUCGGGGCUGAAGCCUCCCGCCCAGCCUGCAACCGCACGGGACGCCGCGCAGCACCCCCGCCGCCCGCUCCGCGCAGACUCCGCCGCCUACGGGAGCGAACUACAACUCCCAUCGGACAACGCGAGCCGAGGGGGCGGGCAUCCGCCGCGCGUGGGCGGCGCCGACCAAUAACGACCGUCGUUACAGCCAACAGUUUGGCCGCGUUUGUAAAAGGCCGCGGCAGGCGAAGAGAGAGGAGUGACAGGUUUUUAUCGUAUUUAAGGAAUCUCUAUACCCAAUGUGGUGCUCAAACUCAGAAUCCCAAGAUCAAGAGUCACAUGCUCAACUGACUGAGCCAGGCAGGUAGCCUUUUUAUUUUAUUUUAUUUAUUUAUUUUUUAAAGAUUUUAUUUAUUUAUUCAUGACGGAAUGAGAGGCAGAGACACAGGCAGAGGGAGAGGGAGAGAGGCAGGCUCCAUGCAGGGAGCCCAACACAGGACUCAAUCUCAGGUCUCCAGGAUCAUACCCUGGGCUGAAGGCAGGCACUAAACCACUGGGCCACCUGGCUACCGUUAUUUCAUUUUUUUUUUAAGAUUUUAUUUAUUCAUGAGAGACACACAGACACAGGGACACAGGCAGAGGGAGAAGCUCCCACAUACAGGGAGCCCGAUGUGUGACUCCAUCCGGGUCUCCAGAUUCACGCUCUGGGCUGAAGGCAGCGCUAAACUGCUGGGCCACCCGGGCUGCCCCAGGAACCCCUUUUAUUUUUUAUUUUUUAUUUUUAUUUUUUUUAAAUUUUUAUUUAUUUAUGAUAGUCACACACACAGAGAGAGAGAGAGAGAGAGAGGCAGAGACAGAAGCAGGCUCCAUGCACCGGGAGCCCGACAUGGGAUUCAAUCCCGGUCUCCAGGAUCACGCCCUGGGCCAAAGGCAGGCGCCAAACCGCUGCGCCACCCAGGGAUCCCCAGGAACCCCUUUUAAUAACAGCUUUAUUAGGAGCCCCUGGGUGGCUCAUUCAGUUAAGUGUCCAGCUCUUGGUUUCCACUCAGGUCAUGAUCUCAGGGUCAUGAGAUGGAGCCCUGAGUUGGGCUCCAUGCUUAGCAUGGAGUCCGCUUGUCCCUCUUCCUCUGUCCCCCCACCCAUUCUCUCUCUCUCUCUCUCAAAUAAAUAAUAAAAUCGGGCAGCCCUGGUGGCUCAGCGGUUUAGUGUCCUUCAGUCAGCGCCUUCAGUCCAGCGCCUGAUCCUGGAGUCCCCAGAUCGAGUCCCGCGUCGGGCUCCCUGCAUGGAGCCUGCUUC
rnacentral:lncRNA from 1 species